GGAGGGUCUCUCCAUUCCAUCCGAAUCUAGCUGCUGCUGCUGCUGCUGGUUAGCUCAAUCGAUCAAUCAAUGGCGGCAGCAACGGCAACUGCAACUGCAACUGAGGCUGCCGGCCACCACCAGGAGCAGCAGCAGCGUUUCCGCGUCGUCGACACGGCCCUGGUGGCGCCUGCAGCUGCUCCCGCACUGCCGCCGCGCUCCAUCCCGCUCACCUUCUUCGACGUCAAGUGGCUGCACCUCCCGCCCGUGGAGCGCGUCCUCUUGUACCGCCUCUCCCCGGACGCCGACGUCCCCGCCAUUCUCUCCGGUCUCAGGACCUCCCUCUCCCAGGCCCUCCGCGCCUUCUACCCGAUGGCCGGCCACGUCCGCAUGCCGGCCACCAAUAACCGCCGCCACGAGCUGUGCUACCGCCCCGGCGACGCCGUCCCCUUCACCACCGCGGAGUACAACGUGGACAUCGACCACCUCAUCGCCGACGACUCCGUCCCCGUGCAGGUGGCCCAGCUCGCCCCUCUCGCGCCGCACCUGCCUAAGGGCCGCGCCGUGCUCGCCGUGCAGGCCACGCUGCUGCUCGGCCGCCGGGGCCUCGCGGUCGGCGUCACCGUCCACCACACCACCUGCGACGGCGCAGGGUCCACGCACUUCCUCCACACAUGGGCCGCCGCCGCAGCCGCAAGAGCAGAUGAGCACGGUCAUCUCGUCAUCCCCCCGCCCCCCGUCAUCGACCGGGAACUCAUCCCGGACCCCAGGGGCCUGUACGACGUGUACCUCAGAAGCAUGCCGCCCAUGGUGUCCCAGGACGACUUUGAGUUCGUGCUGGGCAAGCCUCAGGAUCCCGGCGAGGACAAGGCCCUGGCCACGUUCACGCUGUCCCAGCAGCUUCUGCAGAGCAUCAAGAGCGCGGUCGCCCACGAGGCGGCGCGGCGUGGCAUGGUGACGCCGCCCCGGUGCUCGUCGAUCCUCGCCACCUACGGCUUCAUCUGGUCCUGCUACUGCCGAGCCCGAGGGGCGGCGGCGGCGGCGGCAGAGAGGAGCUACUUCCUCUUCUCCGUGGACCAGCGCUCUCGCCUGAAGCCGGCCGCCGUCCCGGAGAAGUACCUGGGCAACUGCUGCUGCCCGGCCAUCGCGAGGGCGCGGGCGGACGAGGUGUCCGCCGGGGGCAUCGCGGGGCUGUUCGCGGCGUGCGCGGCGGUGGCGGCGGCGUUGGAGGAGGAGGUGCGCGAGGGGGCGCAGGAGCGGUGGGACACGUGCGUGGCGCGGGUGAAGGAGGCCGCGGCCAAGGGGAUGCUGUCCGUGGCCGGAUCGCCCAGGUUCCGCGUCUACGACCUCGACUUUGGAUUCGGCCGGCCGGAGAAGGUGGACAUGGUGUCGGUGGCCAAGACCGGCGCCAUCUCCGUGGCGGACGCGCGUGUUGGAGGUGGAGGCGUGGAGGUGGGUAUCUCUCUGCCGGUGGCGUCGGGUGACAUGGACCGCUUCCGACAGAGCGUUGCAGACGGGAUGGAGUGGCUCCGGUUGCUGUGAUUGCAUCAUUUGCAUGAUGUGUGCGUGU
rnacentral:misc_RNA from 1 species